CGCUGGUCUGAUGGUAGUGGGUUAUCAAGACUUAUUAACAUUAGUGUCACUAAAGUUGAUAUACAGCCCCUCACUGCUAAUUUUGACUGGCUUUAA
rnacentral:Y_RNA from 1 species